rnacentral:rRNA from 1 species
CGAAAGCCUGACGGAGCAACGCCGCGUGAGGGACGACGGUCUGCGGAUUGUAAACCUCCUUUCUCUAGGAAGAAGAACUGACGGUACUAGAGGAAUCAGCAUCGGCUAACUCCGUGCCAGCAGCCGCGGUAAUACGGAGGAUGCAAGCGUUAUCCGGAAUUAUUGGGCGUAAAGCGUCCGUAGGCGGCCUUACAAGUCUGCUGUUAAAGCGUGCAGCUUAACUGCAUAUCGGCGGUGGAAACUGUGAGGCUAGAGUGUAGUAGGGGUAGAGGGAAUUCCCAGUGUAGCGGUGAAAUGCGUAGAUAUUGGGAAGAACACCGGUGGCGAAAGCGCUCUACUGGGCUACAACUGACGCUGAUGGACGAAAGCUAGGGGAGCG